AUUGAACGCUGGGGGCGUGCUUAACACAUGCAAGUCGAACGGAGUGGCGAACGGGUGAGUAACACGUGGGUGACCUGCCCGGCACUCCGGGAUAAGCCCGGGAAACUGGGUCCAAUACAGGUUAGUGUGGGAUGGGCCCGCGGCCUAUAGGCUUGUCGGGGGGGUAAUGGCCGACCAAGGCGGCGACGGGUAGCCGGCCUGAGAGGGUGGACGGCCACAUUGGGACUUGGAGACGGGCCAGACUCCUACGGGAGGCAGCGGUGGGGAAUAUUGCACAAUGAGCGGAAGCCUGAUGACGCGACGCCGCGUGGGGGAGGACGGCCUUCGGGUUGUAAACUCCUUUCACCAGCGACGCGGUAGAUGGAGAAGAAGCACCGGCUAACUACGUGCCAGCAGCCGCGGUAAUUC
rnacentral:rRNA from 1 species